GGUGUUGGAUAUGGAUGCGAAGGCGGAUGCGGAGCCAGACGAUGCUGAAGAUGUGGCAGAGAGUGUUGACUGCAAAAGGCGGAGGCAAGGCACGCUCUCAGUACGGGAGGGUAUACAUAUGUACAUAUACCCAUGUACAUAUAGUUUAUCAAAGAACGUUAUUAAAAGUUUUCACCUAAUAUUGAAACUAAUUGAAACAUUCCACAUAUAUGAUCGCUUUUUAGCCCUCUGAAUAUCAACGAUGAUAUAUGCAUGUUCUCAAUAGUUAUAUCGAUAUAGACGCAUGAUUUCUUUAUAUUUUUUGCCAUUCAAAUACAUAUGUACAUACAUCUGAA